UACGUAGGGUGCGAGCGUUAAUCGGAAUUACUGGGCGUAAAGCGUGCGCAGGCGGUCUGUUAAGACCGAUGUGAAAUCCCCGGGCUUAACCUGGGAACUGCAUUGGUGACUGGCAGGCUUUGAGUGUGGCAGAGGGAGGUAGAAUUCCACGUGUAGCAGUGAAAUGCGUAGAUAUCUGGAGGAAUACCGGUGGCGAAGGCGGCAUCCUGGACCGACAUUGACGCUGAGGAGCGAAAGCUAGGGGAGCAAACGGG
rnacentral:rRNA from 1 species